AUGUCCAGAUACUAGCUUAUCUGAAAAUUCUGCCAAUUUGUGAGUUAAAUGGAAGAAUGGAUAGUUCCCAAUUUUAUAGAAUCUAUUAAAUGGAAGUUGUAAAUAACAAUCUUCAGAGUUUCCUGAUUGAAGACUGAGGUCUGUGGAUCCUCUAAGUGGCAGAGCUGGAAAAUCUCAUCUUCUGCUUGCAUUCCUGGCUUUUCUCCAAUUUGAAUUUGCAAACAUCAAGGGCUCUGCAUACUCUCUGUGCUGCAAAAGGGCUCCUGUCUUCAGUACCCACUUCAUUUAUUUGAAAGGAAAGCAAAAAAACCUCACUCGACACCUUUUACAGCUUGAAACUGGGCCUGGAAAAGCUCAUUUGCAUUCCUGCAGCAAGGCUGGUGAAUAAACCGAGCAAACGUGUCUAUUUGUGUACUUCAAUAUAUGACUGUGCUUGCUUCAAUCAAGACUUAUUUUCAGUAUCAUGGCCAACAAAAGCAUUAAAUGAGUUUUCUCCAACAUGAAUGAUAAGCUGUAGAAUGUAUUUCUUUAAAAUAUUUUUUUCUGUGACACUUAUGGAAUGCAAUGAAAAAUAGAAGCAAGAGUGCAAAUCUCACUAGACAUUCACAAUGCUGCCUUGCCAUAUGAACUCUUUCUCCUUGUUUCCUGACAUGUUAAGUGCCUUCAUUAUAGUUUAGGUUGUAC
rnacentral:lncRNA from 1 species